rnacentral:tRNA from 2 species
UGUGGCAUAGCUCAGGGGUAGAGCGCGCGCUUGAUAAGCGUGAGGACGGGGGUUCGAAGCCCUCUGCCACUACCA